AAGACGAAAUUGAAUCAGCUAAUGAUGAAUAUGCAGUUGUAGACAAAUCAAAUAAAAAGAUAGAUUACGCAGAGAACGACAAUGUAUAUCCAAAUCAAGGCAAUCCAGCUUUGGUUAUACAUCAACCGUUGAAAACAAAGCCAUCUGGACGGAGCAAAAAUCAGGAUGGUUUGACAUACAUAGAAGUAUCCUUCACCAGGAAGCCAAAAGAUCGACGUCGUAUUAUUGGAGCUGAAAACAGGACUGACUAUGUUGAUAUAGAUUUUACAAGGAAAGCUGAUCCAUUACCAGACAGUUCAGAUCAAUAACCUCUUUAAAACUGAUUUUAUUUUUACUCAAGUAUUGUUUUAUACAUGUGUACAUAUAGAAAUAUGUUUUAAGAGUUUGAAGUGUAUCAGUUUUACACUUGCAAAAUUGUUAGAGGGUCUGGGUGGGAUUAACAGAAAAGAGAAUAAUGGGAAACUAACAUAUAAAAGUUGGGGAAAAAUUGGCAGGGAAAAAAGGAAUAGAGAUUAAAGGCCUAAAAACUAAAGAAAAUAUGAGCGAAGACAUCCCCAUCCAUGCCCUCACGCUAAGUAUUUCAAUAAGUCAGAUCAAUCUUAUUCUGAAUACUCGAAGUUCCCCUUUCAGAUGAGAAUAUCAUUUUGCUUGUAUGUCAGUCACGCAGUAACUAUAAAAACAGCAAUAAAACAGAAAGGUAUGCAGGGUAAUUUUUUAUUACUAAUAUUUUUAAUAAAAGUCAUGCACACACUCAUUUCACUGUGUAGUAUGUGUGUGUGUGAUAGAGAGAGAGAGAGAAUUUAAUCUAAAGAUGUUGUGUAAAAGUGCACACCUGGGUCAUUUUGUUUUCAAGUGAUAGAAAGAGUGUACUUCUGUCGUAUAAAAAAUGUUUUGCUUUUUUUUAUUUUGCAUGAUACAGCUUUUUUAUGUUUACGUUUUAAUCUACUUUGUUUUUUUUUAAUUGUGAUUAUCAACUAUUUUAAUGUGUUACUCUAUUGUAUAUAUUGUUUCCUGUCCUGAUGAAUAUUCGUUUAUUACGACAGUAUUGCAUAGAUUUGGGACUUCCUCUGCGAAAGGAAAAAUCAAAAUUCGAUCCAUGUCAAAAUUCGAAAUAAAAAUACACUGAAACUCAAUCAAUAAACUUUACUCUCAUAUCAAUUCACAAACUAUUCUAAUACAAAGAUUGUUGAUUAUUUAAACUUAAUAAGGAAUUAAGGUAGAUUCAUGGUAUACCGCCAUCUUGGAUUGUACAAUCGCAGUACACAAUCGGUCUAGUUAUUUGCCCAAAUCUGCAAAUUAGGAGACAGAUUUGCAAUUUAUUUGUCACACUGUUUAUUUAUUUAAAGAAAACUUGGUGAUUUAUUGUAUUAUUCAAAAUAUUCCAACAAAUAUUAAAUUUUGUGUUUUGGAAUCAUUUUUUUCAACUACGCCAUUUAAGGGGAGAUAACUCUUUUAGUAAAAAAUUACACUGGCUUGAUAGGGAAAUUUUUUAUUUUUACUUGUAGCAAGAAAACAAGUUCGGUGACACCAUUUUUUCUUUUUAUUUUCUUAAAACAUGUUAUAAAACCUAUCUUCUCACAAUUUAUUUCAAAAUUCUAUCUCAUAGAUUUCUUUUUAUGCAUACAAAUGUGUUUUUUCAUGAACAAUCUAACCUGAUUUAGGCAAUUUUCAACGACCCAUAGCUUGAAAAAUAGCACGGUGACCCAUACUUUUUAUUAUAUUUUUGAAAAAGCAUAGUAAAAUCUUCAUUUUGGCAAAGUAUAAGAAAAUUCUAUCUCAAAAAAUAUAUACCGAUGAUCUACCUUAACAUGUGUUUCAUUUCAAUUUUCAAGUCGAUGACC